GGCAUGUCUCGGAGGUUGGCAUCACGGAGGCACUGUGCAGUCCUUGCAAUGUCAAACUUACUCAGUGCCAGCAUAGACGGUGGUCUCAUGCACUCCAUAGGUUUAGGGUACUACAAGGAUCUCCAGACAGCUACAUUUAUGGAAGUUCUGAUGAAAAUCCCUCAACAAGGCACAGAAUUUGACACACUUCAGAAACGGUAUUGGCUGAUGGGUUUGAGCAAUUGGUGGAACUGGUCACAGUGAUGGGUGAUCAAGGAGAGCUCCCUAUAGCGAUGGCUCUGGCCAGUGUGGUUCCUUGUUCUCAGUGGGAUGAACUGGCUUGAGUUCUGGUUACUCUAUUUGGUUCUUGGCAUUUACUCUACCAACUGCUCUGGAACAUGUUUUGUAAAGAAGUAGAAUUGGCAGACUGACUCCAUUCAGACUCUCCUCUGAGGCAACAGUUUGGCCAGUAAAAUAAUGACACUCUGUUUCAAGGUGCCCAAGAAUUCCCAUCCCUCCAUGGUUCAAAUAAUAGAGUAUUGCCAAUCAUGUUCUCUUCACAAAAGAAGAGCAUAUGCGGCCUUUCAAUGAUUUUGUGAAAAGCAGCUUUGAUGCAGCUUGAAGUGAUGCAGUAAAUCAUAGCCUCUCCUUCAGCAGUGACGGCAAUGUGCUCGCUUUACAUCAUCUACUCCGGAACAAUCAGGAGAAAAUUGGCCAGUGUCUUUCUAGCAACAGGGAUCAUAAAGCUGUUGGAAGAUGACCUUUUGAUAAAUGGCAACACUUCUUGUAUACCUCGGUCCUCCAGAGCACAAACCUGUGGCAGAUACAUACCGGUCCAGCCUUAACCUUACCAGUUAAAAGUUUGAGGAAUUUAUGAUGAGGCAUCAGGUAUGUGAAAAAGAAGAGAUCAAGGCUUUGAAAACAUUAAGUAUUUUUUACCAAGCUGGGAAUUCCAAAGCUGGGAAGCCAAUUUUUUAUGUUGCAAGG
ensembl:lncRNA NF1P2 neurofibromin 1 pseudogene 2